rnacentral:rRNA from 1 species
GACGAACGCUGGCGGCGUGCUUAACACAUGCAAGUCGAACGGAAAGGCCCUGCUUGCAGGGUACUCGAGUGGCGAACGGGUGAGUAGCACGUGGGUGAUCUGCCCUGCACUUCGGGAUAAGCCUGGGAAACUGGGUCUAAUACCGGAUAGGAGCCAUUUUUAGUGUGAUGGUUGGAAAGUUUUUUCGGUGUAGGAUGAGCUCGCGGCCUAUCAGCUUGUUGGUGGGGUAAUGGCCUACCAAGGCGGCGACGGGUAGCCGGCCUGAGAGGGUGGACGGCCACAGUGGGACUGAGAUACGGCCCAGACUCCGACGGGAGGCAGCAGGGGGGAAUAUUGCACAAUGGGCGCAAGCCGGAUGCAGCGACGCCGCGUGGGGGAUGACGGCCUUCGGGUUGUAAACUCCUUUCGCUAGGGACGAAGCUUUUUGUGACGGUACCUAGAGAAGAAGCACCGGCUAACUACGUG